GACGAACGCUGGCGGCGUGCUUAACACAUGCAAGUCGAACGGAAAGGCCCUGCUUUUGUGGGGUGCUCGAGUGGCGAACGGGUGAGUAACACGUGAGUAACCUGCCCUUGACUUUGGGAUAACUUCAGGAAACUGGGGCUAAUACCGGAUAGGAGCUCCUGCUGCAUGGUGGGGGUUGGAAAGUUUCGGCGGUUGGGGAUGGACUCGCGGCUUAUCAGCUUGUUGGUGGGGUAGUGGCUUACCAAGGCUUUGACGGGUAGCCGGCCUGAGAGGGUGACCGGCUCGGUGGGGACUGAGACACGGCCGAGAGUGAGAGGGGAGGGGGGGGGGGGGAGUAUGGCACGAUGGGCGGAAGCGUGAGGAAGCAGGGGCGCGUGCGGGAGGGCGGCGUGCGGUGUGUCACCCGUUUGCGCGUGUGACGAGGCGUGAGUGAGGGUAAUGGGUAAAGAAGCACCGGCUAACUACGUCCCAGCAGCCGCGGUAAUCGUCGGAAUAGCACACGUCUGACC
rnacentral:rRNA from 1 species